GAAAUGCGAUAAGUAGUGUGAAUUGCAGAAUUCAGUGAAUCAUCGAAUCUUUGAACGCACAUUGCGCCUUCCGGUAUUCCGGGAGGCAUGCCUGUCCGAACGUCAUCAAGCCCCUCGCCCGCAGCUGUUGCUUGCAACGGUCGCUAUGGGCGGUACAUGGCUGAUGGGUGCCCUAACCGGCGCCCACGGUCGAAAUACAUUGGCAGAUCCUCAUUGGCUGUGAUUGUGAUAAGAAUAUUACCUACAAUUGCCAGACUCCGAGGUGUCUCGCCGCAAGCGGUAGCCACUCCCUCCACGGGGACGAAGCGACCAUCAACCAUAUCUUUUGACUUCGGAUCAGGUAGGGAUACCCGCUGAACUUAA
rnacentral:misc_RNA from 1 species